GACGAACGCUAGCGGCGUGCUUAACACAUGCAAGUCGAACGGAAAGGCCCUGCUUUUGUGGGGUGCUCGCGUGGCGAAAGGGUGAGUAACCCGUGAGUAACCUGCCCUUGACUUUGGGAUAACUUCAGGAAACUGGGGCUAAUACCGGAUAGGAGCUCCUGCUGCAUGGUGGGGGUUGGAAAGUUUGGGCGGUUGGGGAUGGACUCGCGGCUUAUCAGCUUGUUGGUGGGGUAGUGGCGUACCAAGGCUUUGACGGGUAGCCGGCCUGAGAGGGUGACCGGCCACAUUGGGACUGAGAUACGGCCGAGACUCCUACGGGAGGGAGCAGUGGGGAAUAUUGCACAAGGGGCGGAAGCCUGAUGCAGCAACGCCGCGUGCGGGAUGACGGCCUUAGGGUUGUAAACCGCUUUCGCCUGUGACGAAGCGUGAGUGACGGUAAUGGGUAAAGAAGCACCGGCUAACUACGUG
rnacentral:rRNA from 1 species